GAUGAACGCUAGCUACAGGCUUAACACAUGCAAGUCGAGGGACCGGCGCACGGGUGAGUAACACGUAUCCACUCUGCCCUUUACUCGGGGUUAGCCUUUCGAACGAAAGCUUAUUACCCGUUAUAACGGAUGGGUAUGCGUUCCCUUCGGGUGUUGGUGUGGUAACGGCUCACCAAGCCUUCGUUGGAUAGGGGCUCUGAGAGGAAGGUCCCCCACAUUGGAACUAGGGUACGGACCAAACACCUACGGAGGGCAGCAGGUAGGAAUAUUGGGCAAUGGGCGGUAGUCUAAACCAGCCAAGUAGCGUGAAGGAUGAAGGGGUAUGGGUCGUAAACUUCUGAUAAAUAAGAAUAUGUAUUAUAUGAAUAAGGAUCGGCUAACUCCGUGCCAGCAGCCGCGGUAAUAC
rnacentral:rRNA from 1 species